UACGGAGGGUGCAAGCGUUAUCCGGAUUUACUGGGUUUAAAGGGUGCGUAGGUGGGUUGGUAAGUCAGUGGUGAAAUCUCCGAGCUUAACUUGGAAACUGCCGUUGAUACUAUCAAUCUUGAAUAUCGCGUAGGUAAGCGGAAUAUGUCAUGUAGCGGUGAAAUGCUUAGAUAUGACAUAGAACACCAAUUGCGAAGGCAGCUUACUUCACGAUCAUUGACACUGAGGCACGAAAGCGUGGGGAGCAAACAGG
rnacentral:rRNA from 1 species